ensembl:lincRNA
GCUUAGCUUUGAAAGAAGUGGAGAACUUUUCAUCGGUGCUAAGACAGGGUGAGCUGCAGGCCAGACAUUUGGCAGGAUGCAGUGACUAGAAAGAAGCUGCAGAAGUGCAACUUUUGAACUUUCUCUUUGUCUGGCAAUUUUAACUUUUCCUAAAUGAACCUUGGUUUCAAGAGGAACUAGAAUAAAUCGAUCAAUGUGUAUAAUGGAAAAUAAUGAAAACACUAUCUGUCAAGCCAUGUGGAAUAGCUAAAGAAGAAAUGGUGGGAAAUAUAAUAUUCUUAAAUGGUCUAACAGGAAAAUUUAAAAUAUUAUAAAUCAGAAGAUAUUAGUUUUGUCUAAAGAUUUGUCUGUAGAGAACAAAGCAUGGCUAACUGCAGAUGGGAAUAAAUUGUAGUGGACCUGAAUAAUGACAGGCAGCGUUUCAGUAGUCAACCAUUUUAAAGACAGGUGUGUGCUAUAUCCAUUCAGAUUCUUUGUUCCUCACUUCUUUUUCUACAUGUCACUUCCUUGUCUUUAUAUAUAAAUAUGGCCUGCACAUGUGGGCUUGAGGCAGGGGAAAGAAGAGACAUCCCCCCUUUUAAGGUAAAUGGCUGCUCAAUUUUGGAAUCAUAAAUAAUGCCAAAUAAGAAUACAAGACUCUCUCUCCAUAUAUGUGUAUAUAUGUCUGUCUGUCUCUAUGUGUGUGCAUGUGAUUUUAUCCUUCAACUCAGCAGCUCAAGACUGCAAAAAUAGCAACUGAAGAAACAUAAAGAAAGCUCAUAAAAGAAAACAAAACAGAAACUGCUGAAGAAGAUUAACAACAUCACAAGUCAGUUCAGGUAAAUGUUAGGGAAAGAGAGAGAGAGAGCUAGAAUAGAGAAAUGGUGCAAAUAUACAAAUAUAUAAUGAAAAGGGAAAUAACUGCCAAUAUGAAAUUGUAAAUUUUCAGGUUAUGAAUCACUAUUUUAAUUAACUUGAAAGCCUACUGGAAUCAGAUAAGUUUCAAGAAAAUGUAAAAAUGUAUAGAGAUAGCACAGAGACUUUUUAAAAUUAAAGAGACCACUAAGUAUGCAAGAUUUAUAAUAGAAUUGAUGUAUUGUUCCUCCCAAGUAAUAACAGGUUUGCACAUGCGCAUGUGUACACACACACACACACACACACACACACUUCUCUCUGUCUUUGGUGUUCACACCCUUGUGUAAACUCUUCCUUUGGGUGUGGUGCUGGAUCUUUUAACUCUCUACUUUCACAGGCCCACAUGGUUAGAGUCCAUGACCAUCAUGGAAGAGAACAUGGAAACAGGCACAGUGCUUGAACAAUAGGUGAGCAUUUACAUUCAAUCCUCAAGUGCAAGGCAGAGAGAGAGAGAGAGAGAGAGAGAGAGAGAGAGAGAGAGAGAGAGCUGGGAAUGGUAUUGACUUUUGAAACCUUAAAGCCCACUCCCAGUAACACAUCUCCUUCAAUGAGGCCACACCUCCUAAUCCUUCCCAAACAGUUCUACCAAGUGGGGACUGAGCAUUCAAACAUAUGAGCCUAUGGGUGCCAUUUUCAUUCAAACCACCACAGUAUCUUCUAAAAAUAUUUCUAAAAACUAGACUGAAAAUUUUCAGCUCAUUUAUGAGUUUAUUGCCAAAAUCCCAUCGUGAUGGUGACAAAACUGACCAGAGACAUGCACAUAUCUUAAGUGUACCAUUUGAUGAGUAUUGACUCUCCAUUCACUCACACAAAAAUCUACAUUUAACAUCUUUCUAUCACCCAAGAAAGUUCUCUCACCUCCCCUUCCAAUUGGUCUUCAUUCUUACAGGAAGUUGUUGUUCCAAUAUUUCUUAGUGCAUAUUAUUUGAAAAUCUGAUCAUGAAAUGAAAUAAUACAAGCAGGUAUUCUUUCAUAUCUGGUUUAUUUUUCUCUAUACUAAUGCUUUUAUCAUUGCUCUGUACUGCUGCAUAGGUAAGUAACUUACCAGGUUUUUGUCACUACAUUCUAAAUCCAUUGGUCUAGUUUGUCUUUGGACGGUCACCUGUAUGGUUCACCUGUUUGGUAAACCAUGAAUACAGACAUCUUACAAUCUUGUACAACUUUUCAUGUAUACCUGAUCGUGUUUCUCUCGAAUAAAUUCCUAAGAGUAAAAUGUAGGGGUUAUAAAGUAAAUCUCUACUGAACUUUGUAAGAAAGUCAAAACAUUCAGUUGUCCAUUAUUGUUAAACUAUUUAUUUGAAGCAGUAAAGUAGGAGAGAUUCACACUUCACAUUCCCACCAAUGUUUAGUGCUGUCAAACUGUGAGUUUGCUGCCAUGAAUAUGUAAACUGAACCCUCCUUUGAGAAAAGAAGAAAGGCCCGCACUCCUUGUGACCAGAAGUUUUCUGUUCCAUGGAUAGAAACGGAGCCCCUUUCAUCAUGGCUGCUAUGUCCUGUGAGUUAUUGCCAGGCUUAGUGGCUGGAACCUUGCUGCUAAAAGUUGAGGAAAGGGCACAGACCAAUGAGCUAGAGAGCCACAGGUUCAAUAGGCCAAUGUCUCAGCUCUACAGAAUUCUCACUGCAGACCUCAACUCUCCAGAGACAGAAGGACAAUCUGUGGAACAGGAGACUGAGAGGUCCUGUUAGCCACCUCAGGAGCAGUGGUUCUCAACCUUCCUAAUGUUAUGACCCUUUAAUACAGUUCUUCAUCUGUGGUGACCCCCAACCAUAAAAUGUUUCAUUGCUACCUUAUAACUACAUUUUGCUUCUGUUAUGAAUAUAAUGUAAAUAUCUGAUAUGUGACAACCAAAAGGUCAUGAGACACAGGGCGAGAAUCACUGUUCUAGAGGGACAAAAGGAGGAAAAAUCAAAUAUAUUAGUAUUGGCGUUGUCAAUUUUCUUCCUACUCAGCUAUAGUCUGUUCUAACUAGGGAGUUCCGUUCUAGCUAACCAUCUCAUAAAUAAUGCUUCCUAAACCAUUGUAAAUUCCUGUAUAUGGGUGUAACUCAGCUAUAGUUCUAAGUAUCUAUUUUGGUUUCUCCUACAGUCAGAAACUUCUUUCUUCCUUGGUGAGAGUAGAUUCCUGUGAAGGGCAGUGACCUAACUUUUACUCAAAGUGAUAGUGGUUGGAACACUGGCUUUAGCUAUGUCGGAAUUCAAUCUUAAAAGGCACUUAUAAUAGGAUAAAAGUAAAGGAGAGCACGUGGAUCCAUACACUAGACUAA